UGCUCCAGAGGGGGUCACCCGCCUUGGGCGCUGGCGACUUCCUCGGCUUCCAGACGCAUAUAAUCCUCCUCGGGAGGAGCUCCGCCACCGUCUUCUGAAACACGCCGUCGUCCUGGUGGAUGAGGAGGUCCCCCAGCUGCUCCACCAGGUACUUGUCAAACUCCGGCGGGUCCUCCUUCCCGAACUCGGUACGUAUCUCCAGGACGAUAAUCUCCGACUGGGUCUCCGCCAGGAAACGCUUCACGUGCUCGAGGACGACGUCAACGCCAUAUGUGGCGAGGAUCCCGUGGCAGACGCGGCGGUCCUGUUGCACACGAAUGUCCAGAACGCGGGUGCCCUUCGCGAGCUGCCUGUAGAUGGAGCAAGACUGGCACUGCGCG
rnacentral:lncRNA from 1 species